rnacentral:rRNA from 1 species
UGCAGUCGAACGGCAGCAUGAUCUAGCUUGCUAGAUUGAUGGCGAGUGGCGAACGGGUGAGUAAUACAUCGGAACGUGCCCUGUAGUGGGGGAUAACUAGUCGAAAGAUUAGCUAAUACCGCAUACGACCUGAGGGUGAAAGUGGGGGACCGCAAGGCCUCAUGCUAUAGGAGCGGCCGAUGUCUGAUUAGCUAGUUGGUGAGGUAAAGGCUCACCAAGGCGACGAUCAGUAGCUGGUCUGAGAGGACGAUCAGCCACACUGGGACUGAGACACGGCCCAGACUCCUACGGGAGGCAGCAGUGGGGAAUUUUGGACAAUGGGCGAAAGCCUGAUCCAGCAAUGCCGCGUGUGUGAAGAAGGCCUUCGGGUUGUAAAGCACUUUUGUCCGGAAAGAAAUGGCUCUGGUUAAUACCUGGGGUCGAUGACGGUACCGGAAGAAUAAGGACCGGCUAACUACGUGCCAGCAGCCGCGGUAAUACGUAGGGUCCAAGCGUUAAUCGGAAUUACUGGGCGUAAAGCGUGCGCAGGCGGUUGUGCAAGACCGAUGUGAAAUCCCCGAGCUUAACUUGGGAAUUGCAUUGGUGACUGCACGGCUAGAGUGUGUCAGAGGGGGGUAGAAUUCCACGUGUAGCAGUGAAAUGCGUAGAGAUGUGGAGGAAUACCGAUGGCGAAUGCAGCCCCCUGGGAUAACACUGACGCUCAUGCACGAAAGCGUGGGGAGCAAACAGGGAUUACAUACCCUGGUAGUCCACGCCCUAAACGAUGUCAACUAGGGUGAUGGGGUAUUCAUUUGCCUUUAGCUAACGUAAGCUAACGCGUGAAAGUUUGACCGCCUGGGGGGAGGUAACGGGUCGUCAAAGAAAUUAAAAAACUCCAAAG